AGGGCACCACCAGGAGUGGAGCCUGCGGCUUAAUUUGACUCAACACGGGAAAACUCACCCGGCCCGGACACUGUAAGGAUUGACAGAUUGAUAGCUCUUUCUUAAUUCAGUGGAUGGUGGUGCAUGGCCGUUCUUAGUUGGUGGACUGAUUUGUCUGGUUAAUUCCGAUAACGAACGAGACUCUCGCCUACUAAAUAGACGGCGUAUCGAAACGUACGCCGAGCUUCUUAGAGGGACAAGCGGCGCCUAGCCGCAUGAAACAGAGCAAUGACAGGUCUGUGAUGCCCUUAGAUGUCCGGGGCUGCACGCGCGCUACACUGAAAGAAUCAGCGUGCGCGUACGCCUGGUCCGGAAGGACCGGGUAACCCGAUGAAAUUCUUUCGUGCUUGGGAUAGGGAAUUGAAAUUAUUUCCCUUGAACGAGGAAUUCCCAGUAAAUGCGGGUCAUAAGCUCGCGUUGAUUACGUCCCUGCCCUUUGUACACACCGCCCGUCGCUACUACCGAUUGGAUGACUUAGUG
rnacentral:rRNA from 1 species